AGAGUUUGAUCAUGGCUCAGAACGAACGUUAGCGGUGUGGAUUAGGCAUGCAAGUCGUGCGCGAAAGCCUUCGGGCGAGUAAAGCGGCGAAAGGGUGAGUAACACGUAACCAACGUACCCUUCAGACCGGAAUAACCACUGGAAACGGUGGGCAAUGCCGGAUGGUCCUCUAAGGAGACAUCUCCUAAGAGGUAAACGGUGGCGUAAGCUGCUGCUGGAGGAGCGGGUUGCGGCCUAUCAGCUUGUUGGUGGGGUAACGGCCCACCAAGGCAUCGACGGGUAGCGGGUCUGAGAGGAUGAUCCGUCACACUGGGACUGAGACACUGCCCAGACUCCUACGGGAGGCUGCAGUCGAGAAUCUUCCGCAAUGGGCGCAAGCCUGACGGAGCGACACCGCGUGCAGGAUGAAGGCUCUAGGGUUGUAAACUGCUGUCACGCCAUAGGAAUGUCAUGGUGUUAAUAGCGCUAUGAUUGACUAAAGCGAGAGGAAGAGCCGGCUAACUCCGUGCCAGCAGCCGCGGUAAGACGGAGGGCUCAAACGUUGUUCGGAAUCACUGGGCAUAAAGCGCACGUAGGCGGCCUAUUAAGUCGGUUGUGAAAUCCCUCGGCUCAACCGGGGAACUGCAUUCGAUACUGGUAGGCUAGAGGACGGAAGGGGCGAGUGGAACUCCAGGUGGAACGGUGAAAUGUGUAGAUAUCUGGAGGAACACCAGUGGCGAAGGCGACUCGCUGGUCCGUAUCAGACGCUGAGGUGCGAAAGCUAGGGUAGCAAACGGGAUUAGAUACCCCGGUAGUCCUAGCCGUAAACGAUGGGCACUAGGUAGUGGGUGGGCCUGUACUACUCACUGCCGUAGCUAAUGUGUUAAGUGCCCCGCCUGGGGAGUACGCUCGCAAGGGUAAAACUCAAAGGAAUUGACGGGGGAUCACACAAGCAGUGGAGCAUGUGGUUUAAUUCGAAGCAACGCGAAGAACCUUACCUGGUCUUGACAUGUGCGGAUUAGUCCUGUGAAAGCAGGAUGACGGCCCUUCGGGGUUGGAACGUACACAGGUGUUGCAUGGCUGUCGUCAGCUCGUGCCGUGAGGUGUUGGGUUAAGUCCCGUAACGAGCGAAACCCUUGUCGUUAGUUGCCAGCGGGUAAUGCCGGGGACUCUAGCGAGACUGCCGUUGUCAAAACGGAGGAAGGUGGGGACGACGUCAAGUCAUCAUGGCCCUUAUGACCAGGGCGACACACGUGCUACAAUGGUCGAUACAAAGGGUUCCGAGACCGCGAGGUGGAGGCAAUCCCACAAAGUCGACCCCAGUUCGGAUUGCAGGCUGCAAUUCGCCUGCAUGAAGCCGGAAUUGCUAGUAAUCGCGUAUCAGCCAUGACGCGGUGAAUAUGUUCCUGAUCCUUGUACACACCGCCCGUCAAGCCACGGGAGCGGGGAGCGCUCGAAGUCGCUAUGUCUAACCUUCGGGAGGACGGCGCCGAAAGCGAGUUCCGUGACUGGGACUAAGUCGUAACAAGGUA
rnacentral:rRNA from 1 species